CAGAGAAGACAUAUAGAUGGCCAAUAGAUACAUGAAAAGAUGCUCAUCAUUACUUAUCAUCAGAUAAAUGCCUAUCAAAACUACAAUGAAGGACACCUGGGUGGCUCAGUUGGU